UAUAUAUACACAUAUACACACACACACACACACACACACACACACAUAUAUAUAUAUAUAGUCACAGAUACAGACAGACACACACAUACAUGUACAUUAUAGCUCUAUACGAUACGCACAUACAAAUAUAACCUCAUAUACACACACAAACACACAUAUCCACAAUACGCUAAACUCCAGUACGCCACACACACACACACACACGUUACAAACACGUACAUUACAGGAGCAUCUUUCUACACGGUGUGGUAAGUGUGUGCUACGGAAUACGUCACCAAUCUCACACACACACACACACACACAUACUCACGCACAGCCAUAUACAUAUGUUGCCGCACACACAUCCACACACAUACACUCACACACACACACGCACACACGCACACACGCACACACGCACCUGCCUACAAAGGUUCUCUCUGUGUCUUUGCAUUAUGAAAUGACUAUAUCGUCUCAAACCAUUAAAACGAUCGUGGAAGCGGAUUCGCUAAGUCAACACCACCACACAAGGCUACUUGAAACGCCCAAUUAACAGAUAAAUUAUUCUCUGGUGGAAGGAACUGAUACAAGAAUUAG